rnacentral:rRNA from 1 species
UUAAAAAGCUCGUAGUCGGAUUUUGGCUGAGAACGGUCGGUCCGCCGUUAGGUGUGCACUGACUGGUCUCAGCUUCCUGGUGAGGAGGUGUGCUUCAUCGCCACUUAGUCACCGUGGUUACUUUGAAAAAAUUAGAGUGUUCAAAGCGGGCUUACGCUUGAAUAUAUUAGCAUGGAAUAACACCAUAGGACUCCUGUCCUAUUUCGUUGGUCUCGGGACGGGAGUAAUGAUUAAGAGGAACAGUUGGGGGCAUUCGUAUUUCAUUGUCAGAGGUGAAAUUCUUGGAUUUAUGAAAGACGAACUUCUGCGAAAGCAUUUGCCAAGGAUGUUUUCAUUGAUCAAGAACGAAAGUUGGGGGCUCGAAGAUGAUUAGAUACCAUCCUAGUCUCAACCAUAAACGAUGCCGACUAGGGAUUGGCGGAUGUUAAUUGAUGACUUCGCCAGCACCUUAUGAGAAAUCAAAGUUUUUGGGUUCCGGGGGGAGUAUGGUCGCAAGGCUGAAACUUAAAGGAAUUGACGGAAGGGCACCACCAGGCGUGGAGCCUGCGGCUUAAUUUGACUCAACACGGGGAAACUUACCAGGUCCAGACAUAGUAAGGAUUGACAGAUUGAGAGCUCU